GGCUGUGUAGCUCAGUGGUAGAGCUCUGGAGGUCCAUUCCAAGGGUCUUGGGUUUGAUCCCCAGUGUGGCCA